GUUAAAAAGCUCGUAGUUGGAUUUCGGGAUGGGCCAGUCGGUCUGCCGUGAGGUAAGUUACUGGCUGGUCUGUUCUUCCUCGCAAAGAAUGCGUGUGCUCUUUACUGAGUGGGCGUAGGAUUUGCGACGUUUACUUUGAAAAAAUUAGAGUGUUCAAAGCAGGCUUACCGCUUGAAUACAUGAGCAUGGAAUAAUGGAAUAGGACUUUGGUCUUAUUUUGUUGGUUUCUAAGACUGAGGUAAUGAUUAAGAGGGACAGUUGGGGGCAUUCGUAUUUCGUUGUCAGAGGUGAAAUUCUUGGAUUUACGAAAGACGAACAACUGCGAAAGCAUUUGCCAAGAAUGUUUUCAUUAAUCAAGAACGAAAGUUAGAGGCUCGAAGACGAUCAGAUACCGUCCUAGUUCUAACCAUAAACGAUGCCGACUAGGGAUCAGCGAGCGUUAUUGUAUGACCUCGUUGGCACCUUAUGGGAAACCAAAGUUUUUGGGUUCCGGGGGAAGUAUGGUUGCAAAGCUGAAACUUAAAGGAAUUGACGGAAGGGCACCACCAGGAGUGGAGCCUGCGGCUUAAUUUGACUCAACACGGGGAAACUCACCAGGUCCAGACAUAGCAAGGAUUGACAGAUUGAGAGCU
rnacentral:rRNA from 1 species